rnacentral:rRNA from 1 species
UUUUGUAUAAUGGGUCAGCGACUUAUAUUCUGUAGCAAGGUUAACCGCAUAGGGGAGCCGAAGGGAAACCGAGUCUUAACUGGGCGUUAAGUUGCAGGGUAUAGACCCGAAACCCGGUGAUCUAGCCAUGGGCAGGUUGAAGGUUGGGUAACACUAACUGGAGGACCGAACCGACUAAUGUUGAAAAAUUAGCGGAUGACCUGUGGCUGGGGGUGAAAGGCCAAUCAAACCGGGAGAUAGCUGGUUCUCCCCGAAAGCUAUUUAGGUAGCGCCUCGUGAAUUCAUCUCCGGGGGUAGAGCACUGUUUCGGCUAGGGGGCCAUCCCGGCUUACCAACCCGAUGCAAACUGCGAAUACCGGAGAAUGUUAUCACGGGAGACACACGGCGGGUGCUAACGUCCGUCGUGAAGAGGGAAACAACCCAGACCGCCAGCUAAGGUCCCAAAGUCAUGGUUAAGUGGGAAACGAUGUGGGAAGGCCCAGACAGCCAGGAUGUUGGCUUAGAAGCAGCCAUCAUUUAAAGAAAGCGUAAUAGCUCACUGGUCGAGUCGGCCUGCGCGGAAGAUGUAACGGGGCUAAACCAUGCACCGAAGCUGCGGCAGCGACACUAUGUGUUGUUGGGUAGGGGAGCG